UAAUCACAGCAUCAAAAUCAAAAGAAAUCUGAGAGUCAUUACAUGGCUGAACGUUGCAUUUAAUUGUUCCCUUAUUGCAGAGGGAUGACAUGGAGUUCAGUCCUCGGAUUUGUAACAAAGAAUUUCGGGUACGAGGCAAACCCAAUUUUCUGGCAAGUUUGGCGGUGACAAAAUUAGACAUACUGCCUGAAUCAAUUAGUGCACGAACAAGGUGUAAUCUGUCAAAUUGAUCCUUGACGUACAUGAAAGCGAUCGGUAAAAUUACUUGGUGGUUUAAGUCAUUGUUCGGUUGAUUAACAUGACAAGCCGUAGUUCCGACGGGGACUGGUGAUGGUUUACUUGAUUCGAAAUGCAGAGAGGUAUGAUGUUUUUGCUGGCAAACUUUGCAACGAUGCGUCGAUACACAGUUACUGGUCUGGUGAGAUUUAUUAAGACAGUUACGACAUAGGUUGUUGUCUCUGGCAAUUGAUAAUCGUUCUGCUGGCGAUUUAGCAUGGAAUGUCGAACAACGAUAUAACUGAUGAGGUUGAGAACAUAAUAAACAUUUAAGCCUUGAAGGGGUUUCUUCAAUUUUAAGGCUUAUGGACGGCUUACUACGAAGAUUAUGAUGGAUUUUGGAUUGAUUAGACGUUUUCUCAUUUGAGCGACAUUAAGCUUCAAAAGAAGAAUGUUGAACAAGAGAAAAUCCCAUUCAUCAACCGGAAAACCCAGCGCACGAAAACCCUCGACGUUUUCCUUGAACGUAUCGAUGAGAAAUCUUAUUGAUUUUGAUGAUUCAUCACGAAUAGCCUUUAGGUUAAAAAUCUCAUUAAAAUACAGCGUUGCUAAAUGACGUUUAUUGUGAUACCUUUCCUUUAAGGUGUUAUAUGCAAUCGAGUAGUUUUCGUUGGUGACAGGAAGGCCCUUUAGUAGAUUGAAAGGUUCCCCUUUUAAAGAGGGUUCGGAAUAAAUCACAGAAGGUCGGCCAAUCUUUAUGAUUUCCAUCAAAAAUUGGAAUAGAAAUUUUAUUUAAUUUGGGCGACGAUGAUGAUGGAACUACUGUAGAAGGUGCGUUGGAGCUUGGCUGAAGUUGAUGAAAGAUAGCCUUAACUGUAAAAUAAGCCAAAUCAACCUCUCGGCGAAUAUCGUCAUAGGAAUCGAAGUUCGUGUCAUCGAUGAGUCCGAUGAUCUGAUUAUGUAUCGCCUUAAAUUCUUUGUAAGUAUCAUCAGCAUGUUUGGAUUGUUCCAGAAAUAUUAAGCGUUCGGUUUGAUCAUCAGCGAUACUGCGACCACUAUCUCGUGCUUCAUAAAGACGAUUUUGAAGGACGUUUCGACGUAGCGUUAGUUUCGCAAGCUUCUCCAU